CCCUUUUCUCCGCCUUUUCCGCGCUCCAUCUUGCCCUCCUCCCUCCUUCGCCCCCGCUCCUACUCUCCCCUUCUUCCCCUCUCUCCCCACCCCCUCCCUUUCUGGGGCAGGCGUUUCUCCGAGGCGCACUGAGGCUCCGGGGCGAGUCCGCGCAGCGCGAGCUGGGGAAAGCCGUCCGGGGCUCCCGAUGACCCUGCACUCCGCCGGGAGGCCGCCCUUCGGAAAAGCCGUGGAAACACACCCGGAUUGAAAUGCCCCUGGCCCGCCUGACCCGACCCUAGGAGAAGCAGCCGAGUUACCCGACAUCGUGGUCAGCAGGAGCUGGGUCGGUGGCUGGAUGCUGCAGCUGCAGGGACUCAGCGCCUGGGAGGGCUCCUGGGGCAGGGAGAGAAGCAGAGAUGCAACAUUUUUAAAGUUUCACAAAGCAUCCGGCUGCACCCAGGUCCCUGGAACAGGAGACAAACAGAAUUAAUGUUUUAUACCUUCGGGUAUAGGUUUGAGUUUUUUCCCCCUCAUGCCAAGUAUUUAAAACCUCUAGAAACCCAUGAUUUGACAAUCAAUGAUUGCGCGAUACUUUCAAUUUGAAUAUUCAAAGGCUUAACAAAAUGGACUAUCUUCUGCAGAAAUCCUGCACACAGGCACCCCACAGAGAGUCCAGAGAAACAGGGAGUGAGACCCCUUUGGGUCCUGGCCCUUGCUUUUAUUAUAUUUUGAGCAUUUUGUCCUCCUUCCCACAGAUAGAGCAGAUGUCCUCAAAGAUGCUCUGUAUUUCAGCCUUCAGGGCAGCUAAGAAGCCAUGAGUGACUUAGGCUGCCCUGGCCAUGAACACCGGAGCCAGACUGGCUGGCCAGACUGAUUCCCGCAUCCCCCAUCUGUGUUUUGAGGGGAAAUCUUAGGUUUUGAGGAAUGAACAUGGCAGCUAGUGGGUGUGGCACAGCAAGAAGUCGCUCUGGGCCCAGGUGGCAGGCCAGCGGCCUAGCAGAGGCCUUCGCUCUGCACCUCCUAUUUUUCUGGUUCCGCCUGGCUACCAGCGGGCUUUCCUCCCCCUUUCAUCCCGCUCUUCCUGGGCCCGACACUGGGGUUUCUGCUCAGAAUGACUGCCCAUUAAGACCCUUUGCUCCUCCCCACAGAGCUGGGGAUGCCAGGAGCCUCAUCCUCUGGAGACUUUCUGACUCUGGGUUUCACCACCGCACUGCGAAGUGCCCUCUUUGCUUUUUCGCCCGCUAGAGCCACCCCUGCCUUUUUGCUGUAGGAGCACAUGUUAGGAAACAAUGACAAGUUUGGCUCCUGCUCAUUUUAACUGAAAGGAUGUGGACUUAGGUUCAAGCCUUCUCCCAUUGGGGUGAGAAGGGGGAGGGACUUGGGAUCAGGCUUCCCCCUUGGUCCAGGCCCAAGCCCCUCACUAAUGACUUGGGAUUCUACUGGGUCAUCUUCUGUGAGUACUUACUGUGCCUCUUCCACGUGAUUUGGAAGGUGAGGAGACAGGAAUGGUCCACAGAGGGAGAGAGUGCCAGGCCAAGUCCUCUCAUAGCCACCCACCCCCUCCACAGAAGGGGACAGCAAGAGAAGAGAGAGGCAUGGUGAGGUUCCUUUUGCAAAUAACCAAGAUAUUUCCAGGAUUCAAGACCAGGCCAUAGUUUUAGGCCUCUGCUCUUUAUUCUCUGAGAUCUCAGAAAUGCAAAAAGUGUAGUUUAGCCCCAGAGGCCUCAAGAAAAAGAUUGGGGUGCCCCCAAAUGUGUCAAAUACAGAGGGAAACACACAGAGCUUAGGGAAAGGGCAACUGAGAAUGACAAGACUGAUAGGAAUUGCUUGGCAGCUGAAGCCACAUCUCUGGGGGAGAGGAGCAGGCCUGGGAACACCUGAGGUGGCACCUGGCAGUGGAGGGCAGGAUGGAUGUAUUGAAAUCUGACAGCUUCUGGAGCUUCUUUCUACAAAUGCCCCUGAGCCUGUGUCCUAGGUUUCCCUGAUGGACCAGACCUGAGGAGGGGAAGGACAAUGGGAGUGGAGAUAGCACCUCCCCUCCCUGAAUACCUUCUUCCCCGCUGUGCCUAGGCCUUGCCCCCUCUGAAGGAACAGUGAACCAAGCAGCUUGGAAUCUAGGGAUGGUCUCUUGUCCUCAUAGCGUCUUCCAUUACUUCUUUUCUUCGCUGCUCUCCUCCUUUUUGUUAUACUCUUAUUUUUUGAUUUGCUUUUAAAAAGCUUCUUCUUUGUUGCAUUUUUGUUUAUUUCUUUCUGUGUUUCUUUGUCUCUCUUCCUGUCACUGCUUUCUUCCAUUUCUUAUCUGCACUACUGGUUUUCUCCCUGGCUUCACGUGUCUCUGUGUUCCCCUGUGCUGGGGUGUCCUCCCAAUGCUUUCAGGCUUCAUCUCCUUCCUAACCUCUCCUUUCAUGUGGAGAUGGACAGGGAUGGCAGGAGCAUUGAGUGCUCUUGGCAACACCAUUGAAGAUGAUGCUGACGAUCAGCUACCCUGUGAAGAAGGCAGGCCAGGCUGGGUGAGAGGGGAGCUCCUUGGAAGUCAGGGGGUCUGUAAGGACAGCAAGGAUCUUUUUGUCCCAACCUCCAGCAGCCUUUAUGGGUGCUUCUGUGUUGGCCUUGUUUCUGGGAUGGCCAUCUCAGUGCUGUUGCUGGCUAGCGAUUUCAGAAAACUAGAUUUGUCUAGGCCUGAGCCCUGUUUUGAGAAAGAAGCUUCCCUCUGGUUUGUAGCCCAACGUUAAUGAGUUUUGGUUCCUGUUGUUUCUAUAAUUACAAAACCCCAGCACAGGUAUUUAAGAGCCAAAGGCCAUGCUUGUGGAAGUAAGGGAGAAUCUUUCUAAAUGGAUCCUGCAAAUCCUCCUUACAGAUCUGAGUGGAUGAUCAGGCCCAGAGCAACCCUGAGACCCCAGGUACCCACAGCAUUGGCUGUUCUUCAUAGGAGACUCAGAGAAGACUUCAUAGGAGACUCAUUAUUGUUUACUGGACAUCAGGUGCUAUAUUGUAUAGCAUUCACAUUCCACAGGUGAGGAAACAGGCUCAGAGGAAUAAGUGGCAUGCCAAGAUCAUUGAGUGUAUCAGUAGCAGAAUUAGGAUUCAGACUUUGAUAGGCCUAACUCCAAAGCCCUGGCUUUUUUUUUUUUUUUUUGAGAUGGAAUCUUACUCUGUCACCAGGCUGGAGUGCAGUGGCAUGAUCUCAGCUCACUGCAACCUCUGCCUCCUGGGUUCAAGUGAUUCCCCUGCCUUAGCCUCCUGAGUAGCUGGGACUACAGGCAUGCACCACCACGCCCAGCUAAUUUUUGUAUUUUUAGUAGAGAGGAGGUUUCACCGUGUUGGCCAGGAUGGUCUCAAUCUCUUGACCUUGUGAUCUGCCUGCCUCGGCCUCCCAAAGUACUGGGAUUAUAGGCAUGAGCCACCAUGCCUGGCCUUUGCUCUUAACUACUGAUGUUGUCUUCCUGAUCUUUUCUACAAGAAGCUUUUAAACUUUUUGGACUUUAACCUACAAUAAGAAAUCCGUUUUACAUGUUCAGAUUUAUCUAUAACAACAUUUAUAUUUCUAAAACAAACUUUUCAUGAAACAACAUAUACCUACAUAUGUCAGGCACUCUGAUAUUUUCUAUUCUAGUCCACCUUUUCCAUUUCAUUCUAUUUAUGGGAAAUAUAUGUUGGUUGGGAGUCACUGAGUUAAUUUAAUGACCCACUAAUAGGCUGUGAGUGGCAUUGGAAAAAUACCUGCUUGUAAGAUAUGCGAACACACGUUUCAAGGUUGUUUGUGCAUGUGGAAAUAUUUUGGGGUGCUAUCUGUUUUACCAUCAGUUUGUACAAGGACACUAAGACAGUGUAGCCUGCUGACUUGAGAAUGUUCUGUAAGGACUGGAAACACUAGAAUCUUGAAGAAACGCCUGGCUAGAGGUGAAAGUAAGCUGUUAAUUACACUGAUUACAGUUUGUGCCUCUCAGACUGAGAACUCUUUUCUUCUUGCUGCGGGCAUUGCUACCUCUAGGAUGUUUGCCCUGAAGUCCUGAUAGUCUCUUUGGGGUUUUAAUAAAUGGCUGAAAAAAUCGUUGUGGGGUUUCAACAGGCGUUCAUAGGCACCCUUGCUUGGCAAUAUAACAUGACUUUUGAUGUUUGGGUGUUGGAAGGGAUCUUUGAAGUGCUGAGAGGGACUCAGUCUUUUUCCAAAAUCUCUGCUUGUGUCUGUCCAGCCUCUGGCUCCACUGCUUGGCUGAGAUCCUGGCCCAUAGUAGAAUAUGUGUAGAGGAAACGAGAGCUCACUAUUUGUGAGGCAGCCUGUUCCACUAUUGGACUGCUUUAAAUGUAGUGAUCAGUGAUUAUGCUAUAAUCCAAUCAUGUAUUAAUUGGGCACCAACUAUGCACUAGGCAUGGUAUCAAGUACCAGGAGUACAAAAAUAAGUAAACCUUGAUUUCUGCUAUCAAUUACUCUCUUCUCCUACUUCUGUACUACUGCUUUUCUAUUGUGAGUUUGUUUAGUUCAUUAAUUGGUUUAUUCAUUCAUUCAACAAUCAUAUACUGAUUAGCUACUCUGACCAGGUCCAGUACUAACUCUAAAGAAGUUAUGCCCAUCCCAUCUUCACCCCAAGCCUUCUCCUUUUGAGACUCCUCAUCCAGUUUCUUUAGUUCUUCAUAUAUCACUGUUUUUCAGAUCUCUGGCUAUCCUUGCCAUUGACCUCAGAAAUCCUGUAUUUGACCUUAACCUUCUUAUACCCAGUCCAUACCCAAAGUGAUGGAAAUGGAAUAGAUUUCUUUUUAAAGUUUUAAACGAAUAUUUUGACUGAAAAAUUUUGGCAGUCUUGUAUGCAAAUGACACUGCAGAGCAUUGUUUUCUCCCCCCCACAUAGGAGAUUUUAUUCAACUUAGGCACAGGCAUAUUAAAAGACUUUCAGUAUAAGGAAAAGGGGUAGUUUAUUCCCUCCAAAUUUGACUACAGCUCGAAAUUGUCUUUAUUAAUGCAAAGUUCUUUUGUCACCUUGACUUUGGGACACUGUUACCAAACCUUGUGGGAAAUAUCAAGUUCCAGAAGAUUGAAUACAUGCAGGAAACAAAUGUUUUUUGGGCCCUAGAGUGAACAUUUGGUCCAUAUGAAAAUGACCAGGAAGACAAUUAGGUGAAGGUUUUUUAAUGAUUUGUGCUACGUCAGUCUCUUCCCAUAAGACAUAUUCAAAGUUUUAACUUUUCCUUAAGAGGCUUCCAUGGGGAGCAAGCAUUUGAUAAUUCAUCCUUUAACUAAGAAAAACACCACCGUACACUGCUUGAAGAGUUCCUCUUCUAUUACUUAAAACGUUUUUAUUGUGCAACAUUUAAGGCAUACAAAAACAUAUAAAGAAUACCAUGAUGAAAAUCUAUGACUGUAUUACCAAGCUUAAGAAAUAAAACAAUUGAGUGAUCUCUC
rnacentral:antisense_RNA from 1 species